AUGAACGCCGGCGGCGUGCCUAAUACCUGCAAGUCGAGCGAACAGAUGAGGAGCUUGCUCCUCUGACGUUAGCGGCGGACGGGUGAGUAACACGUGGAUAACCUACCUAUAAGACUGGGAUAACUUCGGGAAACCGGAGCUAAUACCGGAUAAUAUAUUGAACCGCAUGGUUCAAUAGUGAAAGACGGUUUUGCUGUCACUUAUAGAUGGAUCCGCGCCGCAUUAGCUAGUUGGUAAGGUAACGGCUUACCAAGGCAACGAUGCGUAGCCGACCUGAGAGGGUGAUCGGCCACACUGGAACUGAGACACGGUCCAGACUCCUACGGGAGGCAGCAGUAGGGAAUCUUCCGCAAUGGGCGAAAGCCUGACGGAGCAACGCCGCGUGAGUGAUGAAGGUCUUCGGAUCGUAAAACUCUGUUAUUAGGGAAGAACAAAUGUGUAAGUAACUAUGCACGUCUUGACGGUACCUAAUCAGAAAGCCACGGCUAACUACGUG
rnacentral:rRNA from 1 species